rnacentral:rRNA from 1 species
AGAGUUUGAUUCUGGCUCAGGAUGAACGCUGGCGGCGUGCAUAACACAUUCAAGUCGAACGGACGAAGGGGCUUCGGCCCCCGAGUUAGUGGCGGACGGGUGAGUAACGCGUGAGCAAUCUGCCCCUGUGAGUGGGAUAACGUCUGGAAACGGACGCUAAUACCGCAUAACGCAACGGAACCGCAUGAUUCUGUUGCCAAAGAUUGAUCGCACAGGGAUGAGCUCGCGUCCGAUUAGAUAGUUGGUGAGGUAACGGCCCACCAAGUCGACGAUCGGUAGCCGGACUGAGAGGUUGAACGGCCACAUUGGAACUGAGAACGGUCCAG